rnacentral:rRNA from 1 species
UACAGAGGGUGCAAGCGUUAUUCGGAAUUAUUGGGCGUAAAGAGCGCGUAGGCGGUUCGAUAAGUCUGGUGUGAAAUCCCUGGGCUCAACUCAGGAAGUGCAUUGGAUACUGUCGGACUGGAGUACAGGAGGGGAGAGUGGAAUUCCUGGUGUAGAGGUGAAAUUCGUAGAUAUCAGGAGGAACAACAGAGGCGAAGGCGACUCUCUGGACUGUCACUGACGCUGAGGCGCGAAAGCGUGGGGAGCAAACAGG